CCUGGAAAGAAUCUUACAAUAUCAGAAGUGGGAUUCACAUAGCGCUUCCCGUGACCCUCCAGGAAUAUCGAGUGACCCAGCAAGACCUGACACCUAAUGAAUGUGUGAAUAGAAAACACCUAGAUGCUCAGAAGAAUGGGUAGUAAAUAUUCGUAUUCAUAUACCAAUCAGAGAGUUUUGGCUGAUCACAGGCCGCCAGCUGUUCAAACCACAUUCAAAUAAGGUAAAUGCUGAGGUGUAACCAAACUGGCUGCUUCUCUACCUCACUGCCUUUUCUGUACAUCAUUUUCCUUUUUCUCUUCAGCAAUUUUCUCUGACUACGCAGUAGCGCAGAGCUGCUCUGAACCUAUUUUGAUUCUGUGUCUAAUUUUUGAGUCUGAUUUGUGAAUCAUUCUUUGCUCAGUUAAAUUCUGUUAAAUUAGGCCAGGUGCAGUGGCUCACGCCUAUAAUCCUAGCACUUUAGGCACUGAGGCAGGCGGAUCACUUGAGGUCAGGAGUUCAAGACCAGCCUGGGCAACAUGGCAAAACCCCGUCUCUACUAAAAGUACAAGAAUCAGCCAGGCAUGGUGGCGAGCACCUGUAAUCCCAGUCACGUGGGAGGCUGAGGCAGGAGAAUCACUUGAAUCCGGGAGGCGAGGUUGCAGUGAGCUGAGAUUGCACCAAGGCCUUCCAGCCUGGGCGACAGAGUGAGACCCUGUCUCAAAAAAUAAAGAAAGAAAUAAAAAUAAAUUGUCGAAGGAUUGAGCAUGCAAAAUAGAAUCAGCUUUUGACCCUGAAUACCUUGCAGUGAGAAUUCCCCUGUGGUUCUCAGGCUUCUGUAAUUCCAGCAAAUACACUCUUCCUUCAGGUUCACUAAAAUGCAGAUAUUGUAAGAUAAUGCUCAUUUCUCCCAGCUUGCUUCAAUAAUAAUGAUCAUCAUAGUAAUUUACAACUCAAUAGUCAACACUGCCUUUUUAACCCAGUCUGUGAGACUGAACCGUAAACGUGACAUUCUUUGAAGUAAAGCUCUCAAUUAAUAUACCAGACUACAUAAACUCCAAUAACUUACCUUUCCACGGAAAGAGAAUAUGUGGGUAUUCUCUUUGAAGACAAAUGGUGGAGAGUAGACUCUCAUCAAAGACCCUCUGGCAGUAAUAAGUUGCAUUUCAGAAGGUUCCAGAAGUUUCUUUGGAAGGCUGCAGUUUGGGAUUGGUUCUCAGAUGUCUGUCUAACUGCUUUCUAAGGAUGAAGACUCCUGGUUCGUGCUUUAGCUGCACCCACAGGAGCAACAGACUUAGACAUUCCUCCACACAAUAAGAGACCCAGGCAGUGCAGAGCCAUGUGGGUCUUAUCUGGCCUGUUGUCCACAGUCUGGUUUUAUCUUAGACCUAGCCUGGUGCAAUCCAUGUUGUGUAUUGGCACUCCACUUAAGUUUCCUGUUUGUAAAAAGCCCCCUUCAUUCGUUGAUUCCUCAGGGCUUUAGGGGAACUUUCUGGAAACCAGGAAGAAGGAAAUAAAGGUUGUUUUGCUGAGGAUGGGUGACAUUGGGCACGGGACCCAAAUGAGUGGUUUGAGCAGAAAGUAGCCUCCACGCUGGACUAAUGCAAUAGCCCUGCCAUGAUUUCACUGCAGGGCUGUGACCGUCUACGACAAGCCGGCAUCUUUCUUUAAAGAGGCACCUCUGGACCUGCAGCACCGGCUCUUCAUGAAGCUGGGCAGCACGCACUCUCUGUUCAGGGCCUGGUAGGCCUCCCACCCUCAGCUGCCUUCUCUCCUGCUCGCCACUGCCCUGGCCUCUCCCCUUCUCACUGCAGACCUGGGAACCCACUCAUCCAGGGGUUGGCAAACUAAGGCUACAGGCCAGUCUCCUGCUUUUGUAAAUCAAGUUUCACUGGGACACAACGCACUCAUUAACUUCUGAGUUGUCUAUAGCCGCCUUUGAGCUACAAUAGCAGAAUUGCGUUUUGCAAAAGAGAACCUGUGGCCCUCAAAGCCUGAAGUAUUUACUCUCUGGCCCCUUAAGAAAUGUUUGUGGACCCCUGCACUGUCUUACUCUCCUGCCAAUGGGUUCCCAGGCCUGUGGCAGGAUCUGUGGACCUGUGUGUCCCCUGGGGUGUCUCAUGGGGCUAAGGAAGGGACUUUUGUGCAGGUCCACAUACCCUGAGGUGUGCCCCUGGGUAAGCUGGGGUGGUGUGGGAGGGCGUCCUAGCACCCUCAUCUUGAGUCCAGGGGAUGAUAACACAGUAAGUCCCGUGGAGAAAAGGAAUGAGUCAGUCUUGUUUGCUGUUGUAACCUUAGCACCCAGCAACAAUAUUAGAGAAAGCAAGCCCAGGCCUCGAUUGGCAGGGGUGGCCUGGUGCUGCUGAUGCAGCUGGGCACCCCAACCUUUGGGAGCCUGCAGGCCUUGCCAUGGCAGGAGAUGCCCGUUCUGGGUCCUGGGCCUGCUCUGUGGCCUCUCACAGGGUUUUUUUCUCCUCCUUCAGCUCAGAACCUAAGGACCCAGCCAUGGAGCAGUCGGCCUUCACGGAGCAGGAUGCUGGGAGCAGGCUGGUGAUGCGUCUCCAUGAGCGGCCAGCCCUGCUGGUCAGCAGCACACCUGGACAGAGUUUGAACAACUGACUCUUCACGGACACAACCUUCAUUCUCUUGUCUGUGUGAUAGCAGGCAAAGGGCCUCUGAGGGAGUAUUACAGCCGUCUCAUCCACCAGAAGCAUUUCCAGCACAUCCAGGUCUGCACCCCCUGGCUGGAGGGCCGAGGACUACCCCCGCUUCUAGGUGAGAGGCCAGCAGGAGGCUCAGGGAGGAGGCAGGGCCUUAAGCAGGGGGAACAGGCGUGGGCAUGAUGUACUUUUUCUGAAAAGGUGGCUCUGGAGGCCACUUGGGGACAGGACUUGGGCUCUGGCUUAACUCCCGGGAGGAGGCUACUUCCUGUUGUGCCAGCCCCUCCCUGCCAGGUGGCCCCAGAGGCCCUUUACCAAGGGGUUUCAGGAGGCCACGUCCUUUCAGCCUGCCACACCCUCCAUUCAGUCCUCUUCCUUCCUGCAGGAGGGCUGGGCCUGGGGUUGGGGCCACUGUUGCCCAGGUGUGGGAGGGCAGU